AGUGAACGCUGGCGGUAGGCCUAACACAUGCAAGUCGAACGGCAGCACAGUAAGAGCUUGCUCUUACGGGUGGCGAGUGGCGGACGGGUGAGGAAUACAUCGGAAUCUACUCUUUCGUGGGGGAUAACGUAGGGAAACUUACGCUAAUACCGCAUACGACCUACGGGUGAAAGCAGGGGAUCUUUGGACCUUGCGCGAUUGAAUGAGCCGAUGUCGGAGUAGCUAGUUGGCGGGGUAAAGGCCCACCAAGGCGACGAUCCGUAGCUGGUCUGAGAGGAUGAUCAGCCACACGGGAACUGAGACACGGUACAGACUCCUACGGGAGGCAGCAGUGGGGAAUAUUGGACAAUGGGGGCAAGCCUGAUCCAGCGAUACCGCGUGGGUGAAGAAGGCCUUCGGGUUGUAAAGCCCUUUUGUUGGGAAAGAAAAGCAGCAGGUUAAUACCCCGCUGUUCUGACGGUACCCAGAGAAUAAGCACCGGCUAACUUCGUG
rnacentral:rRNA from 1 species